rnacentral:rRNA from 1 species
GACGAACGCUGGCGGCGUGCUUAACACAUGCAAGUCGAACGGAAAGGCCCUGCUUUUGUGGGGUGCUCGAGUGGCGAACGGGUGAGUAACACGUGAGUAACCUGCCCUUGACUUUGGGAUAACUUCAGGAAACUGGGGCUAAUACCGGAUAGGAGCUCCUGCUGCAUGGUGGGGGUUGGAAAGUUUCGGCGGUUGGGGAUGGACUCGCGGCUUAUCAGCUUGUUGGUGGGGUAGUGGCUUACCAAGGCUUUGACGGGUAGCCGGCCUGAGAGGGUGACCGGCCACAUUGGGACUGAGAUACGGCCCAGACUCCUACGGGAGGCAGGAGUGGGGAAUAUUGCACAAGGGGCGGAAGCCUGAUGCAGAAACGCCGCGUGCGGGAUGACGGCAUUCGGGUUGUAAACCGCUUUCGGCUGUGACGAAGCGUGAGUGACGGUAAUGGGUAAAGAAGCACCGGCUAACUACG